AUGAUUUUUAAUAUUUAUAUUUUUUAUAUGGGUGUACAUUUCAGAAUGACAAAGCCAAAAUUCAGGCCUUGCCCAAGCUGCCAGGUCCGUCAGCAGGCUAACCGCAAAACCUGCAGUGCUUGUUUUGCCACACUGCCAAGCAAGCGGUUAUUGAAAACUGCAAAAAUUAAUGAUGACUGGGGCCAGAGGGUCAUCAAAAACAAAAAUGCAUCUCGGGUGGUGGCCUCUGCCCAAAUAGCUGUCCAAAAACUUUCUGCCUUGGGCUAUAUGCCCAUAUUAUUUAUCAGCCAGAGGCACAAGGGCACAGGAAAAUUGAUGGCAGAUGUAGUAACGCAUCUGCCACCGACGCAGAACAACACACGUUUCUUAACCAGCAUGAAGAGGGCAUAUGACUUCAUGAUCAAACUGGAUGGUAAGAUAAGUUUUAUGUAUAGUUCAUUAGUGUUUGUCGUUGAUUUCUUUGACAAUUUGUACUGAAGUCAUAUUUUUGCUAUCUUCACAACAGAUGUGUCCCAGUCCCAGCAAGACCAGCCCCUAGACCAGCCCCAGCAAGACCAGCCCCUAGACCAGCCCCAGCAAGACCAGCCCCUAGACCAGCCCCAGCAAGACCAGCCCCUAGACCAGCUAAUCCCACAAGACCACCAACUGAUUACACUUGAAGUAUGUCCAAUCGUCUCUCAGGCUCAGCAGCAUGUGGAGCUUCUACCACCAAGGAAAAGACAAAGUAAGUAAGCUUGCAUUCCACCACAUCUGUAAAUUUGUCCUAUGUUUUUUUUGCAAUUACUGCACAAUAUAAAACAAGUUACAAAUGGAGAAUUUCACCUCUUUUAAUUAAUUAAGCCACUCCUCCAAGAUACUGAAUAUAAAAUUCUCAACCUUUUUCCCUUGCACCUUAAGCCCCACCAUCCAGCCCAGGCCAAGACAGACAAGCCCCACCAUCCAUCCAACCUCAACUAAAGAAAAGACAAAGUAAUCUUGCCUUGCACCCCAUCUGUAAAUUGGCCCCAUGGUUUUGUAAUCAUUGUAUUAAAGCUGCAGAAGGUAACUUUUGUAAAAAUAUAU
rnacentral:lncRNA from 1 species